CUCGCACGCUGUGUGUAAAUGCAGGCUGCGGGUCGCUACACUCGCCCCGUCCUGCCGCAGCUGAGAUCCCCCCUUUGAGGAGAAGGAGAGCAAGUGAAAGUGUUAAAAGGAGUAGCAGCUAAGGUGAUCUCAAAGGAGAAUGCUCAGGGGGAAUUCAGGGACCAGAGAUUUAAUGACUGCAGUUUUAUAGUCUUCAUCAGACCAUCAAGGCUAUAGUCCAAAGAUAGGAGUUAUCAUCUCCAUGAAUUCUGUCAUCUCAAUCAACCUUCAAGGGAAAAUCAUCGCAAGAAGGCCUCAGGGUGACCGUAUUAGCCUUACCUAUGUGGAGACCUCAUCUUCGCUUAGAGCUAGAAACUUUGGAAAUCUGGAUAAUCCCAUGCUUUUCCUCUGGAACAGGAGAUUUGGAGAAUGCGUAUGUCAGUAGGUAUCUAGGUGGUUUGACUAAAAGGAAGUGGUUGUUUGCACUAGAGAUGAUUAGUCACUUGGAAU
rnacentral:lncRNA from 1 species